AAGAGUCCUGGAGAGUAGAGAAGAGUAGCUCCCACCAGUUCAGCUUCAACACAAACAAUGUUCCCUGCGUCUCUGCUGCUGCUGCUAGCAGCUGUCUCCUGUGUCCACUGUCAGGUCGUACUCACACAGGCUGAACAGUCAGUCCAGGGGACCAGUGGAGGAUCCCUUAAACUCACAUGUGCCUGUAGUGGAUUUACUCUAAGCAGCUACAGAAUGCACUGGAUCCGCCAGGCACCUGGACAGGGUUUACAAUGGAUUCUUCACUAUUAUUCUAGCAGUGACAAUGGUUAUACCCUGGUUCUGCAAGGACGAUUUACAGCAUCGAAGGAUAGCACUAAUUUCUAUCUGCACAUGACUCAGCUGAAGCCAGAGGACUCUGCAGUGUAUUACUGUGCUAGAGACUCACAAUGGUAAAAGUAAUGGGAGUAGCCGUACAAAAACCAUCUGGUUGAGAAAAGACGUGCACAAACACACGUAUGGUAUGACCAAUAAACCAUGACAAGGGGAUGCAUGAGGCACAAUUCUAAUGAUGUUUUUAAAGUGGAACUGACAGUGUUUUAGAAACAUUCAAUCUUAUUAAAAUAUGUUCAUAUACAACACCAGGAAGAAUAUGACACCUUUUUUUCUGACAAGCAAGCACUUAGAUAUGGUCAUUUUCACGUUUUCAUAAA